rnacentral:rRNA from 1 species
AAGGCUUGGUCCUAGCUUUUCUAUCAUUUCUAGCCUAGAUUACACAUGCAAGUCUCCGCUCCCCCGUGAGGAUGCCCUGCAGUUCCCCUACCCGGGAACAAGGAGCUGGUAUCAGGCACAGCCUAGUAAAGCUACCGCCCACGACACCUUGCUUAGCCACACCCCCAAGGGAUUUCAGCAGUGAUUAACCUUAAGCCAUAAGUGAAAACUUGACUUAGCCACAGCUAAUAGGGCCGGUAAAUCUCGUG